AAUAAUAAUAAUUUAAAAAAAUAAAGCUACAUACUCUGUCCCUGAGGCAAUGGUUCUUAACCUUUUCUGGGUGAUGUAGGGAAGAGUGAUCGCACACCUGCUGAGACCCUGUUAAAAGCUAUGGACUCUUUCCUCAGGAAAAAAGCACACAUAAACUCUCACGCAGCUGCAGGGGCUUUCAGAGGCUCACAAACUCCUGAGGUCCAUUCUUGGAGUCCAGAUUCAGAAUCCCUGGUGCAAUCCCAAGCCUUUGGCACUCCCUGGAGCCUGAAAUCCCCAAGUUCCUUUUGGGCCAAACUGGUUAAACAUGGAUUUUGAAAAAAGGAACAAAGCCAGGGAUAGAAUUAGCUCAGCACUCCCAGGGGGCUGCCUCACAGCAAGCACUUUAAAGUGUGUGAGAGAGAAUAUGAUGCAGAGGAAGAAUUUCUUGUACUCUGAGUACCGCUGAAAAGCAUUCAAUUUGGGAGGGCUCCACGGACAGGAAGAACCAGAAGUUUCAGAGCCAUUUGUGGGGAAAGGAGGCAGCACCCUAGGAAACAUCCCUUCCUAAAAUGUGCACACACGUGCUAAAAGCAGCCGCUGAUGGGCUGGGGAAGAGAGGCCUGGCUCUCUGGGGCUUCAUCCUUUCAUCCUGCUUCUGAGGCUGCUCGAACUCUUGUAACAUCUCAGAGCUGCUCCAUCAGACCCUGUAACACGGACACCUUGGUGUCUUAGAAGGAGAUAAGGACAGAAUCUGUGGGAAGCCUCCACUGUAGCCUGAAAGUUCCAUGGUGAAGAUGGGGUUCCCAGCAGCCAGCCCAGGGGAGUGACAGUCACAGGCCUCCCAGAGACCUGGCCCAGGAGUUUCCUCAAUACGCUUCUUGGAGGCUUUAUGAAGCAGAAGCGUGGCUAGGGCUCUGGGAGGCAGGAAGACCUGAUUUGAGUCUCAGCUCCCCACAGUGAGCAAGAUGUAUAAUUCACUCAGCCUCCACCUCUGCACCUGCAAAAUGGGGACAAUGACAGAACCUCUUCCUUAAGGACAUUAGGAAGACUCAAGGUAAUGCCUCCACAGCACACUGCUCAGCACUCCCCACCCCACCUUACGGAUGAGGCUGCCCCAGCUCUGGAGCACCCCCGGAGGUCAGCCACAGUCUUUGCUGCAACACCAUCACAGUGGAGCAUCUCCCUUUGCACCAUCCUGUGUGCCUUGCGAGUAUUCAUUCCAAAGUACUGCCAGAUAAACUUGCUGCAUGCAAACCUCCGUCUCCGAGUCAGCUUCCUAGGAACCUGAGACUUGAGGCGAGAUCCCUUAGGGAGCAAAUGAAGUGAGAACAGCCUUGACAAACAAUUCUGGAGGAACAGUAGGGACAAAAACCUCACUGGAGUGGAUUCAAGAAAGAAUGAAAGGAGAGAAACAGCACAGCAAGGAUAGGCAACUCUUUCCAGGAGUUUUGCUGUUUUACUAGGAGCACAGAGAUGCAGAAACAGCAUGCCAUUUUCCCAGGGCUACUGCACGUGCUGAAAUCGGGCCCUAGAUAUGGACACCUGUCCUGUCUGCCUCAGUCUCAACUGCACACAGAUGUUUCUUAUGCUUCAUCCAAAUUGUCCAGUUGUUCUCAGCAGAAGAACUGCUCUGAUACAAGCUAGUUCAUUCUAGCUGGGAGCAGAAGUGCAAGGCCUCGGCCUUGGGUGAUGUCCAGAGUUGAGUGUCGGGAUCUCUGAAGACACAGGAGGCAGCUCCCUCUUGGCUGGGCCUACCUCUGCAGGACAAAAGCCUCCAGCCCUUGGGUAAAGGCAGAUGCCUGGCCUCCCCCGACUCCAACUCUCCUCAGUCACACCUGCCUGCCUACAGCUCCAGCACCACAGAAGAUACCCAGUAAAGCCACUAGCAACCUUCCCACUAGGCCCCCAGAUCUGGCUUAUUAAAUUGUCUUCUGUCACAAGGACCACUUACUUACAACAGCUGUUGCUGUGGCAACCAGGCAGCCAGCCUUCCGCUCCAGCUAACAGCCAUGAAGCUCCUGCUGACUACUUGGCUUGGGCAACUGCAGGGGAAGUUGCCCCCAAAGUGUCUGUGAGGAUGGAACAUGGUGGAGGACGUGGGAAGUGGCGACAGGGAACGGGAGGCUGAUUGUGAAGUGCAGAGAUUUGGAAUUGUUCUAUCAUUCCCUACCAACAGGUUGGAAGAGCUAUGAGAUGACUCCCGCCAGAGGGGUUCCCACACCUUCUUGUGAUAUAGGCCACUUCUCCAGCAACACCUCCUUACCCACUCCACUCCCUAUCUACAAGCUGAAGGAGGGAGGGCCCUCCAGGGGCAGAGAGAGGGCCACACACAGCUAGAACAGAAUCCUGCCAAUGCAGGUGAAGGGCGCUGGGCACUCACCAGCCCUGAGAAAGAGGGGGGCAUCAGGAACUGGCAUUGGCAGGCCCCAACGUUGCUGUUGAGAGGCUGUAACUCCUCUGCCCUCCUGACUCUUCCUGAGAGAGGGGCUGCUUUCUUUAACCAGUCCUGAAUGUCUCUAGUCUGAACUUGUAGCUGAGUGACUAGAGAUUUUGAAGUUGCAUAGAUGAGUGUUCAAACCUUAGUUUUUUCAGUUGCUACCUGUUUAACAUGAGGCAAAUUACUUAACCUCUCUGAGCCUCAGUUUUUGUAGCUGUAAAAUAGGGGUGAGUACAGUACCGACCAACAAACUGUUUCAAGGAUUAAUUGAGAUCGAGCACAUAAAGUAUGUAAGACACAAUGCUGGCACAUAACAAGCUCUCAGUAAGUCGGUAGUAUUAUAGUUAUUAUUGCUAUUGUUAUCAUCACCGACGAUUAUGUCACUAGAAGACCUAGAGGCUGAACACAUAAUUGAGAGACUUAGAAGAACUGAGAAUGAUAAAAGAAACCUCAGCAUGUGAUCUACAAUAUGGUAUUAUUUUUGUUUUUAAAAAAAUGUUAACUGGAUAUCUCUAA
rnacentral:lncRNA from 1 species